ACAUCAGCCUGGAGGGCGUCACCUUCAGCGAGGCAGCAGAGGUCAUGCAGAGCAGCCCUGAGGAAGUGCAGCUCAUCAUCUCACAGCCGAAAGUCCCAACUCUGAGUCCCAACAGUGUUCGCUCUCCCGUGUUCAGGAGUUACGAAUGCCAGACCACGCUGAUGACGGACGGACGCUCAGUUGACGACAGUUUGGAUGAGAUUGUCUCGGUUAUGAUGACACCGAAGACCAGCAACAGGCUUCACGUCCCCCGAGACGUACGAGCCGUCGGUACACAGGACAGCUGCUCUCUGUCUCCGUCUCUAAACUGUGUGAGGCCGAGCGAGAUCACCGUGGAGAUCAGAAAGAUAUCAGGAAGUCUGGGCGUCAGCAUCGCUGUGAGUUUCUGAAAGAUUUUGCAGAAGAUGCACCUGCACCUGGACUGCUGUCGCUCCGUUUUCUGCUUUAGUUUAUCAUUAUGA
rnacentral:lncRNA from 1 species